CAAAUGAAAAUACAUUUGCCACUGAAUGGGAAAAUAAGCUUAGAAAAUGUUCAUAUCUUGGGCAUGAUUUUUAAGGUGCAUGCAUUCAAAAUAACAUCAGCUGUGUGAAACUGUAUGAGAACAUUGCAAACUUUGAAGUAUUUGAAUGUUACUUAAGUAUUUGAAUGUUACUUAUUCCCUUAGAGACUUAUUUAUUCCCUUAGGAUAUGGAUACAUGGGGAGAUUUUAAUGGAGUAGAUGAAAAUUGGUGGUGGAUCCUGGAGGAGUCUUGACAGCUGCAAGGAGAUAAUUAGGAUAAUCUCACAUCUGCUAAACUCUCCCAGCUGACCCCUUCCUCAUCACCUGAUACAACGAAUGCAGCUAGAACAAGUGAUACAAACAAACAAAAAUACACCCUAAAGAUAUGAAGCCUGUUAAAACGAGCCGAUGAGCUUUCCAGGAGGAGCCAGGGAGAGGUGAAGCCACAAGGAGGCUGAGGGCCCAUGGGAAGAGUUGCAAGAACAGGCUCUCUUCUCCGGAACCAUGCCAGAGAUGACAGAGAAUGAGACACCUACUAAGAAGCAACAUCGAAAGAAAAACCGGGAGACACAUAAUGCAGUGGAGAGACAUCGAAAGAAGAAGAUUAAUGCUGGGAUAAACAGAAUUGGAGAACUCAUUCCCUGCUCUCCAGCACUUAAGCAGAGCAAGAACAUGAUCCUGGACCAGGCCUUUAAGUACAUAACAGAAAUGAAAAGACAGAAUGAUGAGCUGCUAUUAAAUGGAGGGAACAAUGAACAGGCUGAAGAGAUAAAAAAACUCCGGAAACAGUUGGAUGAACUGCAAAAAGAAAACGGGAGAUACAUCGAACUACUGAAAGCAAAUGAUAUUUGCCUGUAUGAUGACCCUACAAUCCACUGGAAAGGAAAUCUCAAAAAUGCAAAGGUCUCAGUUGUUAUUCCCAGUGAUCAGGUUCAAAAGAACAUCAUUGUCUAUUCUAAUGGGAGUCAACCCAAUGGAAAUAACCAAGGAGCACCUGUCCAGGGAAUAACGUUUAAUGUUGGUCAUAAUUUACAAAAGCAAACAGCCAAUGUUGUGCCAGUUCAGAGAACUUGCAACAUAGUGACUCCUGUGACGAUUGCUGGUAUUUAUCCCACAGAAAAUAAGCCAUGGUCUCAGCCUACGGUUUCUCCGCUGGCAUCUGCUCAGACAGCUCCAGCAGGGCACAUUCUUGAGCUUUCCACUCCGGAGAACGAGCAAGGUGUGCUCACCACUGCUGCUGCGAGCUCACAGAGUGCAUCUCAGUCUGGGACAGAACAGGAAUUACAGUGUUCUUCAAGUAAUGCACCACAGAAUGAUCAAAAUCUCCCCAAAAGUAAAAAUAAUGAGGAGGUCACUAAACCAACAAAGAAAACACUCCUGCAGGGAACCAGCCUUCCUUCCAGUGCCUCUGUGGAAGCCUCCCAAGUUCAACAGGUGAAUGCAACUUGCUCAAAUACAAACAAUUCCAGGAGUGACCUCCAGGAAAGCUGUGUCAUUUCAGCCACAGACACAGCUUGUGUGCCGCCUGUGAGACUGUCUACUGCAGAUAGCUCUUCCUCUGUAAAUGUCCUCAAAAGCACAGACGUAGUGGGCAGUGCUGGAGUGCCUGCGACUUCUGCAGCAGAAGGAGUUAAGGCUGUGACGGCAAUAAGCACUCUGGCUGCCAGUCCCUUAGAGAACUGCUGGUCUUUUUCAGGCUCUUCAGGUGUUGGCACUUCAGACUUGAAAAACAUGAGUAGCCUUACACGGAUGCCUUCAACUGGAAACACGCAGACCACGUGGACCACUUUGCAGCUGGCGGGAAAUACUGUCCAGCCGCUAAGCCAAACGCCAUCUGGUAUAAUGACUGCACUACUAAACGAGCCAGUUAAUGGUGCUGGUACUGUGUCUUCUGCUCAGAGCAGGCCUUUGACUACCAGUAUCAGUUUGAAUGCUUCUCUGCCUGGGGAUGGCCAGGCAGCUGAACAGAUUGUAGUUACCUUGCCCUCAUGCCCACCCUUACCUAUGCAGCCUUUAAUCAGCCAGCCACAGGUUAAAACUCAGGCUGCAGGAAAUAUCCUUCCAUUAAAUUCAGCUAUGCAGGUGAUUCAGAUGGCUCAGCCAGUCGCGUCAGCUGUUACAGGAGCACCAGCUAACCAGAAUGUCAUCAUUCUCCAGCCUCCAAACCCCACUCCGUGCCCUCCGAUUGUGAGAGCGGAAGUUCCCAGCCAAAAUGUUAGUCAGCAAAUUGUAAUUAUACAGGCUGCUAAUCAGAAUCCUCUUCCCCUCCUCUCCGCUCAGCCUUCUGCUUCUGUAAGAGUUCCUGUAAACGGGCCGACUGCAGUUGCAAACUCUAGCAGCUCCAUGCAAAAUGCUUCUCUUCCACAGACUUUUGGAGGGAAACACCUUGUCCAUAUAUUACCAAGACCAUCUUCUUUGCCGUCUUCUAGCUCUACGCAAACAUUUUCAGUUACAAUGUCCAGUCAACAGCAUCCUCAGACUAUCUCAUUAAAUGGGCAGCUUUUUGCACUGCAGCCUGUGAUGUCCUCAUCUGGAGCUUCAAAUCAAGCCCCUAUGCAAAUUAUUCAACCCACCACCAGCGAAGACCCAAAUACCAAUGUUGCCCUCAAUACAUUUGGUGCUUUAGCCAACCUCAAUCAAAGCAUAUCGCAGAUGGCUGGGCAGAGCUGCUUACACUUGUCUCUCAGCCACCCCACCAAUCCCGCAACCAUCAAUAACCAGAUUGCCACAGUUAAUUGUGUGUCAUUACCAACUUCUUUGGCAUCUUCAGUGCCUGCAGAGGUCUCAGUACUAACCAGUGCAUCUAAUUCAAUAAAUGCUUCCCCCAAAAAACCAUCUGCUGGCUUGCCAUCCGGUGCAAAAUCAAAAAGGACAAACAAAAAGCCGAGUACGAAGAAACACCAAGCAGUCAAUAAUAAAGUGUCUUGCCCAGCAGUUCCUUGCAAAGAUGCAGGGAAGGUGGACUGUGCUCCUGUGGAAACAGUGUCAAAGUAUUCAAAUGGUGAAGGGCUGCUUGAAAACACUCCAGCAGUAUCUCAAGCUGUAACUACGUCACAAGCAAGUGGUGUGGCAGCAUCGAGUGGUGUCAGCAUUUCUGACUCUCAUUCCAAAGAGACUGCGAGUUCUGAACAGGCAGUGAAAAUGCCCUCUGUUCCCGAGCUGAGCUCAGCAGAGGCACCUGCUUCUUUACCACUGGAGUCCGUGGUGCCAGAGCAGCUGCCACUUGUCCCAUCGGCUCCCAAAGAUGCUGCUCCUCGCCAGCAGGCACUUGGACCUCAGAACCACCCACCAACUGUCUCUGCCUUGUCAGAGUCUCCCAAACCUUGUGAACCCCCCAGCACCUUAACAUCCUCUUGUAGCGAAGCACAGGUGACACAUUCUCAGGUUGCUGGGACAUCAGCAGCACAGAGCAGCACAGCAAGUUCCAAGGCAGGAAUGAUUUCGGAGUCCUGCAACAUUGAGCCAGAUUCCUCAGUGGUAAUGCAAGAUGCAGACUUGUUAGAAGGACAGGGUCUAACCAAAAUGCUGUCUGAUCUCACAAAAGAAAGAACAGCUGUGGAAAAAACCUCUUCGUUUACUGUUCAUGGUGAGCAUUCUAAUUUUCCUAUGGAAAACUCCAAAUCAGCAGAAUCAAAUGUUGAUUUGCCCGAGAAGCAGGAACUCUUGCUAAUGAACUCUGAAGGUGACACUCUCUCCCAGCAUCACUCAUGCAUCUCUGAUUCAGAAGUAGUCAGUGCUUCCCUUAUUGCUAGCAGGCAGGCAGACUCCCCGAUGUCAACCAGCUCUGGCAGCAGUCGAGGCUUCUCAGUUGCAUCUAUGUUGCCAGACACCACCAGAGAAGAUGUCACAAGCAGCACCUCAACCAGUACCUGUAACAGCUGUACAUUUUCAGAACAGACUGACAUUGUAGCUCUUGCAGCCAGAGCUAUUUUUGACCAGGAAAACCUUGAGAAAGGUGGAGGAGGAAUACAGGUUAACACGAGGGAUGCUGUCUCUAAGUCAGCUGAGGUUGCACCGCUGGAGAGAGAGCAACAGCCUUUUAAACCUCAGUCAGUGAAAGAAAGCAAUGCAGGGCCAUUGGAAGCAGCACCAAACAAAUUUGGUGCUCACGAUACAGCACCAGCAAAUGUUGAUAGGCAGGUUGAAAAGCCAAGCUGCUCCAUAGGAGGUGUGGAAACAUCGAACCCUUCUUUGCAGAUUUCCACCUCCCAGACACCAAGCAUAACCAGUCUAAGCGUCAAUAAUCUGAUACACCAGAGUCGCAUUGUCCAUCCCCUGGUGAGUUGCUCAAGUUUAUCCCAGCCUUCAGAGCCUGCAAGUGUCCCUGCAACUGUGAGCCUCUCCCUUCCAUCUAGCACAUAUAUCAAUCAGUCUCCAGGACCCACUAUGAUGAGUGAAUAUGCUCAGGAACAACUGAAUGCCAUUAGGGCAAGCACCAUGCAGGCUCCCCAGCUGCAGGAGUCACACUUAAAGCAUCAAAGUCAUGAAGGUCGCAAAGACUCGGCCAAGAGGGCCGUUCAAGAUGACCUUCUGCUUUCUACAGCAAAGAGGCAAAAGCAGUGCCAGACAGCACCCAUAAGGCUUGAGGGGAUGGCACUGAUGAACCGGACACCAGAGAGUAUUGCUGAUCAAACACAGAUGCUGGUCAGUCAGAUUCCUCCUAAUUCUUCCAAUUCGGUGGUGUCAGUAAGCAAUCAAGGACACGCUGAUGGCCUCAAUAGGUUAUUUCCAUCCAAUAGCAAUUUUGUUACAUCAGCUUUGAGGCAAACUGAGGUUCAGUGUGGUUCUCAGCCAUCAAUUUCAGAGCAGCCAGGCCAGUCAGGGCAGCACUUGCAGCCAAUUCAACACGUUCCUUCUCAAGGCAUCUCUCACCUUCACAGUAAUCACCCAUACUUAAAGCAACAGCAGGCUGGUCAGUUAAGAGAGAGGCACCACUUGUAUCAGCUGCAGCACCACGUCACUCACGGGGAAAACUCAGUCCACUCUCAACCCCACAGUGUCCACCAACAGCGAACGAUACAGCAGGAGGUGCAGAUGCAAAAGAAAAGGAAUCUCAUCCAGGGAACACAAGCCACACAGCUUUCCCUACAGCAGAAACACCAUGGAAGUGAUCAAACACGGCAAAAGGGUGGUCAGCCUCAUCCUCACCACCAACAAAUGCAGCAGCAGAUGCAGCAGCACUUCGGAGCUUCCCAGCCUGAAAAGAACUGUGAAAAUCCUGCAACAAGCAGAAACCACCAUAACCACCCUCAGAACCAUAUAAAUCAGGAUAUUAUGCAUCAGCAGCAACAAGAUGUUAGCAGCAGGCAGCAAGGUUCCGCUUCUGAACAUGUUUCAGGGCACAAUCAGAUGCAAAGACUUAUGACCUCAAGGGGCUUAGAGCAGCAAAUGGUGUCCCAGGCAAGCAUCGUAACCAGACCAUCAGAUAUGGCAUGCACCCCUCACAGGCAGGAAAGAAACAGAGUUUCCAGCUACUCUGCUGAGGCCCUCAUUGGGAAAACGCCCUCUAAUUCAGAGCAGAGAAUAGGAAUAUCUCUUCAAGGCCCUAGGGUUUCUGACCAGCUGGAAAUGAGAAGUUACCUUGACGUUUCUAGAAAUAAGGGGUUGGCAAUUCAUAGUAUGCAGGGCCGCUUAUCUGUUGACCACACAGUUGGCUCAGAUGUGCAGCGUCUUUCUGAUUGCCAAACAUUUAAGCCCACUGGACCCAAUCAACAACCAACGGGCAAUUUCGAUGUUCAGGCUUCAAGAAACAGUGAAAUUGGCAAUUCUGUGUCAUCCCUCAGGGGCAUGCAGUCGCAAGCGUUCCGAAUCGGUCAAAAUACUGGGCCUUCCAUAGAGAGACAGAAGAGACUGCCCUACCAGUCAGUACAGGGUAUUCCAACGGGGAAUACACUGCCAUCAAGGGAAAACGAAAACACGUGCCACCAAAGUUUCAUGCAGAGUUUGCUCGCCCCUCACCUUGGAGAUCAAGUUAGUGGAAGCCAAAGAUCAAUCCCAGAACAUCAAAGGAACACACAGUGUGGCGCCUCCUCCACAAUAGAGUACAACUGUCCCCCAGCGCGAGAGAGCGUCCACAUCCGAAGAGACGGUGAUGGCCAGAGUAGGGAAAGCUGUGACAUGUCUAUUGGGGCAAUUAACACAAGGAACAGUUCUUUGACUAUUCCUUUUUCGAGUUCUUCUUCCUCGGGAGAUAUUCAGGGUCGCAAUACAAGCCCAAACAUCUCUGUGCAGAAGUCCAAUCCCAUGAGGAUGACGGACAGUCAUGGAACUAAGAGCCACAUGAAUACGCCUGUUUCUAGCAACAUGCAUGGAGUCGUGAGGCCAACUCACCCUCACCCUGCAGUUUCUCACGGAAAUGGUGAGCAAGGGCAGCCUUCUGUUCGUCAGCCAAAUUCUUCAGUUACUCAGCGGUCAAGACAUCCUCUACAAGACAAUGGAGGUUCUAAAAUACGUCAACCUGAAAGGAAUCGAUCUGGAAAUCAGAGACAUGGAAAUGUGUUUGACCCUAGUCUUCCCCAUCUUCCCCUGUCCACCAGUGGCAGUAUGAUCCUUGGGCGCCAGCAGUCCGCAAUAGAAAAAAGAGGAAGCAUUGUCCGAUUUAUGUCUGAUGGCCCUCAAGUGUCUAAUGAUAACGCAGCCCCUGACCAACAUACUCUCUCUCAGAAUUUUGGAUUCCCUUUUAUUCCAGAGGGUGGCAUGAAUCCACCGAUAAAUGCCAACGCCUCUUUCAUCCCACCAGUCACUCAGCCUAGUGCCACUCGAACACCAGCUCUAAUCCCAGUUGAUCCUCAGAAUACGCUGCCAUCCUUCUAUCCACCUUACUCUCCUGCCCACCCUACCCUCUCCAAUGACAUUUCUAUCCCUUACUUUCCCAAUCAAAUGUUUCCUAACCCAAGCACAGAGAAGCCUAGUAGUGGAAGUUUAAACAAUCGAUUUGGAUCCAUUUUGUCUCCUCCCAGGCCUGUUGGUUUUGCUCAGCCAAGUUUUCCUUUGCUUCCAGAUAUGCCGCCAAUGCACAUGACCAACACGUCGCACUUAUCCAAUUUUAACUUAACGUCUUUGUUUCCAGAAAUAGCCACAGCUCUUCCUCCAGAUGGUUCAGCAAUGUCGCCUUUGCUUUCCAUUGCAAACACAUCUGCUUCAGAUUCUUCCAAGCAGUCCUCAAACCGACCUGCACACAACAUAAGCCAUAUUUUAGGUCAUGACUGCAGCUCAGCUGUAUGAAAACCAAUAGACUGACUUCUAGUCUGAUGCGUUGUUUAUAUAUUUAAGAAGAAGAGAGUGGAGACCAUUCAUAGCAUCACUGUUUAUUUGCCUAAAUGGCUUUUUCUGAACCCUGCCGAGACCAGGAUGGAGAAAUAUUUCAUUCCCCUCCUUGAACAUGGCAAUUUCUGUUGAAGUUCAACCACAUACCUGUGUGAGUCUUUUUACAUGCCAUAAGUGAUGCUAAAUGAUCCUGUGGCCCUGGUAUGGGAUCAGGAAGACUGCUGUGAAGAGCAAGGUAGUCAGACCACUCGCUGAGAGCUUUGUAUGAACACAUUCGUCCAAAUUCUGGUAUUUGCACUGCAGACUGGCUUUUAGAUAACUUUAUUAAAGAAAGAUUGGCUCUGUUGUGCAGUCUUUUGGUCUAAUUGCCUGUCCAAGAUGGGCUUUGAAUGCUGAAUCUGACCUGGUCCACUGGUUUGAGAUCAGCCUGUGCAUUUCAGCUUCUCACAUGUUCAUUCUCUUUUGCCUUCAGGAAGAACAGUGGAGGGACUGGAUAUUUCACAUCAAAAGAGAGGGAAUUAGAUGUUAAGUAAUUUCUGUUAGAUUUUAAUUAUUAAAUUGUUUUGGGUUUUUUCCUUGUCACCAUAAAUUAAUCCCACCUGCCAUUCCAUAUCGACGAGCCUUCUUGCACUUAGUUGUGAAGGUCAGUUUAUGCCACUGACAGGUCAGUGGCUCAGUUCCUUUCGCAGGGCUCUGCUCUCGGGAAGAGGAGCAAUUGCAACAUCUUUACCAUGGAGUGGAAACAAUUGCUUCUUUAUUUUUCCUUUCUCCUACCGUUGAACCUGUUGUGUUUAGCUAUCCGGUUGAUAAGGCUCGUUUUACCUCAAUCUGUGCUUGGGAGAAUAGUUUGAAAAAGGAACUUCUGUAAGUUUUGCAGAUUGAGUGAUUCUGUUUUACUUGUUAUUACAAUAUGAUAAGCAAAUACAUUUUCUUCAGCAAACAUCUGUGACAACAAUUAUUUACCUUUUUCUCCUAAGAAUUACCUGUUCCCUUGGUUUUCAAGAUAUAUUUGUAAAAGACUAUACUUGGAAAAGUUGCAAUUUGUUAGCCUGAGAAUGCCAUUUUCUCUUCCAUAAUAUGUUUUUGAAGCUUACUUAUAUUAAGACGGGGUUUGUUUUGGCUUUGAAGGAAGGAAAAAUACUCAGUAUUGCUUAAUUUAGCAAAAUAAGCAGUGGAAGGGAAAGGUUGGGCACUACCUCUGGGGUGAGACUGCCACAACUGACAAGCAUUGUGUGGCUGUGGCUUUCAGCUUGGCCUAAAUGACUUCAACAAAUAGUACUGGGCUGGAUUGCAUGUAUGUCAGUGUAGUCCAUGAUCAAUCCCUUAAGCAGCCUAGGAGAAUAAGAACAGAGACCGGCUAAGUUGAAAGCAGGCAAUAAAAUAGUAUUAAUACUGCAUUAAUAUUUAUACACCUUUUCAUUGAGAGAAAAGACCUCAUUUAAGAACAGCUAAGGGAAAUGAGAACUGAAGUGAUUUGAGCUGGUGGCUGAGCCUUACUGGAAUGGGUUUUCCAGCUCCUGCUCCCAGCUCCAGUCACUACGCUGCUGCCCAGGUGGAAGAGCACCUCUCUGAAAAAAAGUAAAUACUGUGCUAGUCCAGAGUCUCCUGCAUUUUGCACAGAUUUCCUACUGCACUUUAAAACUGCACUGGUGCUGCUGUGGUUGGUGACUGUAGUGCUGUUGCAGGAAACAGAUUGUGUGGCAGGGCAACGGUAGAAAAUGGGCCAUUUAAUUAUUUCUGGUCUCCUGUUGUCUUUUUACGUUAUUCUGAGGUACUUGUGCAGCCCUGGCUCAAGGACUCCAUCACAAACUCAUGCUGUUUCUGGAUGACUGAGUGUAGUCAGCUGUGCUAAGAGCUUUUGCCAUUCCCCUAAUAAGUUUCAUGCUCAUCACUUUAGUAAUGAUCCCACUUUAACUGGCAAGACAGAAUAGCAUCGUCUAUUUAUAACAAAUCAGUCAAAUUUGGGUUGUUUUCUGAUACAGUGCUAUAAGGAGCUCCACUCUUUAUCAUCACCUGGCCUGUUAUCAUCCACCACUGGUCCUUUCUCCCACUGCCAUGAUCCAGCAUGGGUAGCAGUCUCAUGGACAAGAGUUCCAGUGCAGAGACAGGUUUGCGUGUGAGGGUCUUUUCAACUUCUACUGCCUCUGCAAUACCAAGUAAAUCUAAAACCUCAGAGCACCAACACUUUAUUGCCACUAGUUACACUGAGAGCAAGUUACUCUUUGAACUGGUGAAAGAUGCAGUGGAGUUUUUUGGUCAUGACAAUACAAAUUCAUAUUCUCUCUGCGAACAAACUCUGCUUAGUUACACAGAAGCCAUUUAUUACAUACUGAUACCAGUUUUUAUGAGAUAAAUUUAAAAAAAAAAAGGCAUUUCUUUCUGCCACACCAAAAUUAUCUUUACAAGCAGGUUUCCAAGUUUGCAAUAUGUGCUGCUGUUCCAGCAAUCACAAGUAUGAAACAGUGGAGCUCAUGGUGGGUUGGGCCCUGUUCCUGCCUGCUCACUGUGAGAAGGGAAGCAAAUACGGAUUUUGCCACAGGAGAUUAAUCAAAGAUGCUGUUGCCCUCCACAGUGUAAAUUAUUUAUAUUCAGUCCAGAGUUUUCUGCUGUGCUUCUGUUUUAUACAGCUGUAAAUGACUUGGAUACAGUCCCAGUGGAAAGUCCUUACUAUUUUGUAAUGGAAAAAAGGAACUCUGCAGUAGAAAUCUAUAAUGAAUGAACAGGAACAUCAUCUUCCAAUUGUAAAUAAGAUCUUGCUCUGUUUAUUUUGACAUCUUUUUACAAAUGUGUUACAUUCAGGUGUAAAUAUCCCAAACCAUGAUCUUGUUCAGAGUUCUGAGAUUUCUAUUGUUAAAUGUAAUACUUUGUUUAAUAGUUGUAAUAAUUAUUUGUAUAGAUAUGAACAUAAUAGUAUUUUAUUAAAAAAAAAAGAAAAACA